CCUACGGGUGGCAGCAGUGGGGAAUAUUGCACAAUGGGGGAAACCCUGAUGCAGCGACGCCGCGUGAGUGAAGAAGUAUUUCGGUAUGUAAAGCUCUAUCAGCAGGGAAGAAAAUGACGGUACCUGAUUAAGAAGCCCCGGCUAACUACGUGCCAGCAGCCGCGGUAAUACGUAGGGGGACAGCGUUAUCCGGAUUUACGGGGUGGAAAGGGAGCGUAGACGGCAGCACAAGUCUGGCGUGAAAUGCCGGGGCUUAACCCCGGAACUGCUUUGGAAACUGGGCAGCUAGAGUGCAUGAGAGGUAAGUGGAAUUCCUAGUGUAGCGGUGAAAUGCGUAGAUAUUAGGAGGAACACCAGUGGCGAAGGCGGCUUACUGGACUGUAACUGACGUUGAGGCUCGAAAGCGUGGGUAGCAAACAGGAUUAGAUACCCCUGUAGUC
rnacentral:rRNA from 1 species